rnacentral:rRNA from 1 species
GGAGGAAAGUAGGGGAUCGAAAGACCUUAUGCUUUUGGAGCGGCCGAUGUCUGAUUAGCUAGUUGGUAAGGUAAUGGCUUACCAAGGCGACGAUCAGUAGUUGGUCUGAGAGGACGGCCAGCCACACUGGGACUGAGACACGGCCCAGACUCCUACGGGAGGCAGCAGUGGGGAAUUUUGGACAAUGGGCGCAAGCCUGAUCCAGCAAUGCCGCGUGAGUGAAGAAGGCCUUCGGGUUGUAAAGCUCUUUCAGUCGAGAAGAAAAGGUUGUGACUAAUAAUUGCAACUUAUGACGGUAUCGACAGAAGAAGCACCGGCUAACUACGUGCCAGCAGCCGCGGUAAUACGUAGGGUGCGAGCGUUAAUCGGAAUUACUGGGCGUAAAGGGUGCGCAGGCGGCUUUGUAAGUCAGAUGUGAAAUCCCCGGGCUUAACCUGGGAACUGCGUUUGAAACUACAAAGCUA